rnacentral:lncRNA from 1 species
GAGAUUCCAAAGACAAAAGACUUAAGUUUCAUAUAUAGCAAAUAUUAAUUCUGUUUUUGACAGCUCAAUAAAACAGAAUCCAAAGAAUUAAAGAGACAAAUCAGGAGCUACAAAAGAAAACAAAGGCACACUAAUAAAAGCCAACACCACAAAAAAGGAACAUAAAAAACAAAGAAGGUACAAAAAUAUAUGAGAAAAAAAAGAUGAUACAUUAAUAACUAUGUGCAAUUAUUAGGUGAGAUAUGAAAGCACCAUAAUAACUAAAAAUCCCAUAGUCAUCUCAACAAUUCCCAUCCAUUUCCUUCUAUCUCCUCCAUCAUUUUUCUCAUUAGCUGUAGUUGCUGCUUUUCCAUUAGAGCUCCCACUAACUGUAAAAGGAAAGGUCAUAAAUGGAAAAAUAUUACUCAAUUCGUUUCAUUUUAUAUGAAAGUGUUUGAAACAAUAUAACUUAAGCACUAGCAAACCCAAGAUUUCAAAGUCGUGAACGCUCGCCGAAAAGAGUUCCAAAAGAAGGGGGAAAGGAGUUUAACCGUAGGUGUUCACUCAAUGCUUAUCUAAUUUUUUAAAAAUAAUUUUUAUGUAAAUCUACUAAAUUUGGUAAAAGUCAAUGUGUGCUUAGCUUAGCACCCGCAAGGCUCCAUAUAGGUUCGUUAUUGAGCUUAAGAAAGAAAGAAAGAGUUUAACACAUACCAACAAUAUCGAUAAACUUGCAGUUUUCACAUGUCAUAAUUAACAUUGUCUAAAAAAAGAAUACGUCAUAACAUUUUUAUAGCUAUACAAACAUGACAUUAAGGAUAAAAUAUGAAGUUUAAAAUUAAGAAUUUUCAAAUAUAAAAAAGUAUUUUUUUAAAUAAAAAAGAGUGACAUAUAAAAUGAAACAAAUGCAGUAUCAAUGAUAAGACAAAAAGCCUAGUUUAAAUUUAAUCAAAUCUAUUAGAUUGAUUUUGUAACUUUUCAUGUUUACCUGGUGCAGAUGAAGCACUAGAACUUGCUUUUGCACUCUUUGCAAAAUCUUCGAAAACCUUAGCAUCUGGUGAAUUUGGUGGCAAGUGCAACAGCUCUGGACAUAAAUCACAACUCCAAAUGUAAGAAUACAUCUUAGUAUACAUUUUUCUUUCACUAGUAAAGCUUGUGUUUAGCAAAGUUUAUAGGUAAAUGACUAAAAGAGUCCGCUUUAGGAGACCAAAAAAUAAUUUAAUUUAUAUAUACCGACAAUAUAAAAUUAAUGAUACAGUCACACCUCUCUAUAACAGCUUUGUUUGCUCCAGAUUUUUUUAGUUGUUAUAGCUAAGCGCUGUUAUAGAGAACACAUAUUAUAGCAUAGUAUGGAAAUUGGUUCCAAAAGAAACUUGGCUUUUAUAAUGAAUAGUUGUUAUAUAACAAUGCUGUUAUAGAGAAGUCUGACGGUAUACAUAUGAGUGCGAUGUACUUACCCGGGCACAUCGAUACAUUAGCUGAAUUAGCAGGAGCAUGACAUAGAGUAGGAAGGCUUAGUGCAAGAGUAGCAUUGAUCUUAAGACCAAGGCUAGGAUCAUUUCUAUCUUUCACCAAAACACAAAGGCAUUUCUUGCUCUUGUCCAAGACUUCUUUUAGACCGGUGCAACAAUCCGGUGUGGGAGCUUUGGCGUCUCCGCUAACAUAAGGAAGACACGUGGCGAGACCGACGAGUUGGUUAGCACAUUCUUCUUUAUCUUUGUCAAUAU